CGCGCUGGUGACAGACUAUGAAGACUAGAGUUUAUCCGGUUAAAUUAUACAACAAUAUCAGGUUGUUUUCCAAUAUGAUGCUCUUCCUUGUAUUAACGUGUUGGAUUGGCUUUGCUGCUGGUGUUGAUAAAGAGGAUGAUGAGAUUGAGUCGCUAACCGUGACUUAAGGUGGAAACCUCACCAUAUCUGUUCACAUAGAGAAAUCGGACGAAGACCCUCAGGUUUUGGUGACUCGUCUCAAAGGCUCCUCGCAGGAACCGAUAGCGCAGGUAUUCUGUCAUAAUGGAGCCUGUGCUCAGAAGUGCUGGAGAUCCCAGAGUUAUAUUCUCAUAUCUGAUGGAGAGAAUAUAACUCUGAUCCUGAUGAACGUCAGCUACAAUCAAACGGGGCUUUACAAGGUCUGCAAACUGAGCAGUAGACAACCGCAAAACAAGAUCUACAAGCUUACAGUGUAUCAGCCUCCACUCAGGACCAUCAGCCCUGAACAACCAGCAUCUGCCGUGCACAGUAAAUCAUUUACUGCAGGCAUAAGCACAGCUGCAGUGGUCCUCGUUUUACUGGUCAUCAUUUGUGCUGUUAUUUGUGUCAUUUAUAGGAAACAUGGG